rnacentral:rRNA from 1 species
UGCAGUCGAGCGAAUGGAUUAAGAGCUUGCUCUUAUGAAGUUAGCGGCGGACGGGUGAGUAACACGUGGGUAACCUGCCCAUAAGACUGGGAUAACUCCGGGAAACCGGGGCUAAUACCGGAUAACAUUUUGAACCGCAUGGUUCGAAAUUGAAAGGCGGCUUCGGCUGUCACUUAUGGAUGGACCCGCGUCGCAUUAGCUAGUUGGUGAGGUAACGGCUCACCAAGGCAACGAUGCGUAGCCGACCUGAGAGGGUGAUCGGCCACACUGGGACUGAGACACGGCCCAGACUCCUACGGGAGGCAGCAGUAGGGAAUCUUCCGCAAUGGACGAAAGUCUGACGGAGCAACGCCGCGUGAGUGAUGAAGGCUUUCGGGUCGUAAAACUCUGUUGUUAGGGAAGAACAAGUGCUAGUUGAAUAAGCUGGCACCUUGACGGUACCUAACCAGAAAGCCACGGCUAACUACGUGCCAGCAGCCGCGGUAAUACGUAGGUGGCAAGCGUUAUCCGGAAUUAUUGGGCGUAAAGCGCGCGCAGGUGGUUUCUUAAGUCUGAUGUGAAAGCCCACGGCUCAACCGUGGAGGGUCAUUGGAAACUGGGAGACUUGAGUGCAG